rnacentral:rRNA from 1 species
UGGGGAAUUUUGGACAAUGGGCGCAAGCCUGAUCCAGCCAUGCCGCGUGCAGGAUGAAGGCCUUCGGGUUGUAAACUGCUUUUGUACGGAACGAAAAGGUGCCUUCUAAUAAAGGGCGCUCAUGACGGUACCUUAAGAAUAAGCACCGGCUAACUACGUGCCAGCAGCCGCGGUAAUACGUAGGGUGCGAGCGUUAAUCGGAAUUACUGGGCGUAAAGCGUGCGCAGGCGGUUUUGUAAGACAGAGGUGAAAUCCCCGGGCUCAACCUGGGAACUGCCUUUGUGACUGCAAGGCUGGAGUGCGGCAGAGGGGGAUGGAAUUCCGCGUGUAGCAGUGAAAUGCGUAGAUAUGCGGAGGAACACCGAUGGCGAAGGCAAUCCCCUGGGCCUGCACUGACGCUCAUGCACGAAAGCGUGGGGAGCAAACA